UUGCCUUUGAGCUGUCAAUUUUAUGGGAUCCCACGCUGGGUUUCUCAGUAGAUCUAUUUUUAGGAUUCGCUGCAACGGAACUUUUGAUUGGAGGAUUUACAUCGCUUGUCGUGUUUACAUUUCUGGAGUUUGAGAUCAUGUGUUGUUUGGUGUUUUUAUCGAUGUAAUUGGUAGUGACAGCUUCUGCGUAUGACUGAUCCUGUUGGAGUUUACGUUCCGUGUACAACCGAGCGGACAGCGUCUCUGAGUCCCGCACAAAGGCAUGUUUUCUCAGCGCAGGAAGAUCCAGUAUCUCGAAAUCCAGCAGCAGGCACCGCAGGCUCGAGCGUAACCAGACGAAACAAACAGUUGCGGAAGUGCCGCGUCAAUCAUGUCCACUGAUGGCGGACUGAAGUGGUACUGGAUCAUGAUUUUAAUAUUCGCGGUAAUCGCGGUAUCUGGCUGCAUCUUCCUCAUCUGGUGCUGCCGUCGUCCGAAACUCCCAAAGCAGCCACAGUCGCCAGUCCCAACCCCAACCUCACCUUCCCCGAGCUCCUCCUUCCAUCGCCAUCACCCACUCCCCGAAUCUCCCGGCUUGUACCGACCCUCGGACUUCAGACCAUGGUCGAAUUCCCUAACGUCGCUAAAGUCGCACGCCGAUCACCCUCUUCAUCGUCCACACUCGCUUCCCGAGAAUCCCGGAUUGUACCGACCGUCGUUAUUUAGGCAAGGGUCGCAUUCGUCACAUGAAUCAGAUACCGACCACCCUCAUCAUCGUCCACACCCGCUUCCCGAAUCGCCGGGCAUUUACCGACCCUUUAGGCAUUCCCUGUCGUCCCAAAAGUCGGAUCCCGGUCACCAUGAGGCGAAUGUGCCGUUUAUACCGUUUGGGCCUUAGGUACUCUGUGUUAUUUUGUAACAAAAAAAAUACUCAGGAACAAUUUGUUUUAAAUGGUACCCCAGAAGUGCAAUUUACAUGCAGAAAUCACGUCAUAUUUUAUUAAAUUGAGUGUUUAGUCACUUUAUAUUUCGCGAUUCGUAGGACAAAAAUGUCAGUAUGAGCUGACUUGUUAAGUCUAGUCAAAGUUUCCAUAGAGCUUCACUUUAACUUGAUUAUCAUGCUCGAUAAAAAAGACAAAUCUGUUGACAAUGAAAAGUAUAAUUGAAGUGGAAAGUAAUGAAGAAGUAAACUAAUACUAUGCGAGGUAAGUAAAUCGUUCACUUUCUAACAAUCUUACACUGUGUUUACCCUGCGAGAAGAGUUAUGGAGUACACGUGUAAUCUUUCAACGCGAUUACGCGAGAAAAACUAAUAAAAAAAGCGACCUCGAUGGAUGAAUGUUUCUAGGUUGAAAUAGUCACGACGUAAAUAGUUCCACACAUAUCAUUGCUCAUGCUUGAACAAUUCGGGAAUUAUGGCGAUCAUGUGGUAUAUGCACACAAAAAGAACGUUUGAAUCCAUAAAACCAUUGUCUGCACGAUCGUUACAGAGCCAUUGAACGCAGUCUGGUAAUGUUCACGUUGUUCAAGUUUCUAGUUUUUAACCCAUUUAUAUCUAGUGGACUCUCCCAUCCUUCUAAAUUGGAUCAAUAUAUUUUCAAAUUUAGGGAUUUCUAGUAUAUAAAUUUCUAUAUUUAGAAUAUUACUUACAGAAAUUCAUUUAAGAAAACAGCGCAGACCCUGAUGAGACGCCGCAUCAUGCAGCGUCUCAUCUGGGUCUACGCUGUUUGCCAAUGCCUUUUUUCUAGACGCUAGGCAUAAAUGGGUUAAGUUGUGUCAAUUUGACCACAAUGAAGUUUUAUAAUAUGUAAAACAAUACCACCACCCUGUGUUGAAUAAUGUCAAAAAGAGCAGUGGGAAUGGAUAACGGUUGUGUCUAAAAUGUAUAUUUGUCCUAGCGAAUUUUGUCAAAAUGACCGAAUGUCAAUUUUGAUUAUUCAAGCUACACCCCUGCUCGGUUUGCAGAAAAUGGACAUGUGUUGAAGCAUGCUAUUUAUUAUUUUCCACUUUCAUUUAUUAUUAUCAAUGUUUGUUUUAGCUUUUUAGCGUUUUGUCUUUUUAUUAUAACCGUGUGUACAACGCUUGGAAAUGGAAUCGAAUAUUAAAUUAGCAAAAUAAUUAUGAUUAUCGAUAUUGUUUUUCUUUUUUUAAUCAUAUAUCUUCAUUUCUUUUAACAAUUCCAAUAUCACGCUUUAAAGGGAAAUUUUCACAAAUUUCGGCAUAUUUUGAAGUUUGUCAUUAAAUGUUUUAAUUUUAUAAAUGUAAACAUCGGAACUAAAGAUUUACAGUAUAAAACAAAAAUGAAAUUAAAAAAAGAAAAAAAGUACGGUAAUCUACAGAUGGGCUCGAACUACUGACCCUGGGAGUAAAAGUCUAGCGCUGAAACCACUCCUUAAACCAUACUGAUUUAUACAUACCGGUUAAACCGGUUUAAACCCACAGUGCUUUGCACAGACCGUUCCAAGGCGGCGACCCCAGCUUUAUUCUACUAUGUGUGUAUGUUGUUUCGUAUUGUGCCGUACUGUUUUGGCAAUUGGUCACUUGCCAUAAAUAAAGGGCCAUGAACUUGUGUAUAAAAAGAAAGCACUAACGGAGCAACUGGAGUUUCACUUCUUUAUAUAAAUGUAUUGUAUACCCAAAUGUAUCAUUAGUAUGAAUGUUUUGCAUUGACUUUUAUUUCGCACAUCAGUUUAUCAACGGGCUCAGUAUUAUCCGCUUUUUAUAAGUUGUAGCUUAGCUAUGCAUGUAAACAUACUUAUUGAUAAACCACUUGAAAUAUAUACAUGUACAUAUAUUUACAAUUAUAUUUUCGUUAUUGAUUUUUAAGGAAAAUAAACAAUGAAAACCA